rnacentral:rRNA from 1 species
UACGUAGGGUGCAAGCGUUAAUCGGAAUUACUGGGCGUAAAGCGUGCGCAGGCGGUUGUGCAAGACAGGUGUGAAAUCCCCGGGCUUAACCUGGGAACUGCACUUGUGACUGCACAGCUGGAGUACGGCAGAGGGGGAUGGAAUUCCGCGUGUAGCAGUGAAAUGCGUAGAUAUGCGGAGGAACACCGAUGGCGAAGGCAGUCCCCUGGGCCUGUACUGACGCUGAGACGCGAAAGCGUGGGGAGCGAACAGG